rnacentral:lncRNA from 1 species
CUUUUUAACAGCAAGCACUGCAUUUAAUGCACAAUUAGGGUUUCUUACCCAUUAUAUAUAUUGAUCCUUUUAUUCAGAGUAGUUAACACUGAAUGUUUGUCGCUCAAGAUACAUCAUUAAAGUAUUAAACCAUUAAACCAAAUUAGGCAAAAUUCAAGAUUUCAAGAAUCGCAACUUAGUCUUCACAUUAUUCUUCAAUAGUAAGCUAUCCAAUACCCAUUCCGUUCACGCUCCCAUUACACAAGACAACAUGAAAGAAACCAAAUUAAGCAAGAAUCAAAGUUUCAAGAAUCUCAACUUGAAACAUAGAAGUUCUCUAGUUUUCAAGAUAAAAACCAAAGUCAGUGUCUUCACUCCUGAUGAACAUGAUGCAGCUGAUGGUCUAGUUUUGUUGCAAAACCUAUUACAAAAGAAGGAGGUUAUUAGAAAAUUCAAAAUAACUUUUCGUGGCAAAAAGAUUUGUGAAAGAAUCUACAACAACAAUAGGUCGAUCGUUUCUUGCCAUUGUUAAAAGAAGGUGAAGAUGUUGAAGAAGGAAUAUAUGUCACCGCAUAUGACAUGCACGGCAAAGUGUUCAACAUGAAUUUCAAAUUAAAGAGUAUAUAGACUUAAAGUAUAGGAAUUUGAUGAAUCAUUGUAGUAAGAUUUUCAUAAAUUAUUAAUUACUGAGUUAGUUUUAAGACUUCUUUAUUUUUUGUUGCAUUCUUGAAGUGUUCAUAACACUACAUACAACUUUGUUUUGUAAUUAUGUCGAUGCAACCGAUCAAUAUAUGAAUUGAGACUCACAGUAUUUUCUUUUAUCUUGAUAUUUUUAGGUCUUUUAUUAUUUUGCUUAUUACUUAUUUUUGUUCUUCAAUAAGCGCUUAUAACUUGUCAUUAAUUAACACGCUUCUUUGGUAUUAGUGGAUAAACAAAUUAAUAACUAGGAAUGGUAUACUGAUAAUUUCUUAUCUGUCCUGAAUCAACUUAUAUUACAUCUAAUCCAAAGUAUUCUAUUUGUUUUCUCUACCCAAACUUAAGCAAUUGGUUAAACUAACAGCCACAUUUUUCAUUCCUAAUUAAUUUUAGUCCAUUAGGGACAUUACGGUGUCCCAAAAGUGUCCGAAAACACAUAAUAGGGUAAAACAGGGCUGUCAAAGGCACUUUAGCGCACUGGCUGCGCUUUAAGCGCGCGGUUGCAGGGGACACACACUGUUGUCUGCACUCUAGGCGCAGGAACUGCUGCUGUGUUUUCCUGCACAGUUUUCUGAUAUGUUAGCUAAUUAAUCCGGUCCAANNNNNNNNNNNNNNNNNNNNNNNNNNNNNNNNNNNNNNNNNNNNNNNNNNNNNNNNNNNNNNNNNNNNNNNNNNNNNNNNNNNNNNNNNNNNNNNNNNNNNNNNNNNNNNNNNNNNNNNNNNNNNNNNNNNNNNNNNNNNNNNNNNNNNNNNNNNNNNNNNNNNNNNNNNNNNNNNNNNNNNNNNNNNNNNNNNNNNNNNNNNNNNNNNNNNNNNNNNNNNUCUAUAUGAAGCAGCAAAACCACAUAGAACUACACACCAAAACCGUGUAUCAAAGUAGUAAAUAAUCCAAUAUUAUUUAUCAAAACUGCGAAUAAUCCAAUAUUAUUUUAAAAAGAAUAAACUAUCUAUACGAAGCAGGGUGGUAUUACCAAUAUGAAGCAGCAAAACCACAUAGAACUACAGGGUGGUAUUACCUAUUAGAAGUGAACUGAAAAGAAUAAACAAAGAACAACAUCAAAGAACUUAAACGCUCUAGUCUCUACCACAUUUUCAUGAAGCGAAAGUUAUAUGCACAUAACAACUAUAGAAGUGGUACGAAUCUUAGAAUGAGAAGAGAACCCCAAAAUAUCCAAACUUGUGAAAUAUGAGUAAGAAACAAAUAACUAGUUUGUACAUGGAAUAAAGAGAGUCCUGUCAAAGUCAUUUACACCUGAAUAUGUACCAACAACAAAAGUAGUGUGAAAAAGUUCAGCAAAAUCUCUUCUAACUUGUGGAUAAUCAAACUUCAAAAAACCUAUAACUACAAUAGCCACCACCAUCAAGGGACUUGGACAGGAAGCACCCUAACUGUUAAUGAUCAUGCCAAGCACAAAACAGGUUUACCGAAACCGCAAAAAAAUGCAUUCAACUAAUAAUAAAUGAAAAGACUAAAGCAAUUUUUGAUCUAUUUACCGAAACACACACAAACACAUCAUAAUUCAGCUACUUAGUUCAACUAGUUAAGAUUAUUGUGUCUAUACUAUGGACAGAUAUAUCAUCAUUGAAACAAAUUUCACAACCAAAAAUCACAUCAUAAUUCAACAAAAAUUCAAAAAUGUCAACAAAAAUUAUUUAGGCUAUAUUUCAAUUCAAUAUAGUUCAACUUGCACUCUUAACCCUAAUUUCUUAAUUAAUCUUCACUCUUAACAGAUUUUUUAGUAAUAUCAGAAAUCACAUUUGCAAAAAACACUUAAUCAAACACAACAAUGACCUAAAAUCACCAACAUGCAACAUGCAAACACAAAUCGCACUUCGAUAUAAGCUCAGAGAAGAGAGAGAGAGAGAGAGAGAGAUAUUUCAUUUACAGUGUGGACUCUUCAGUGUGUAAGAAACGAAAAUUGUGCUCAGAAGAAGAAGAAACGAAAUCUUCAAGUCCGAUUUAGCUCCGAUGAAGAUGAAACAAAUAUUCAAUCCGAUUUAGCUCCGAUGAAGAAGAAGAAGAAACGAAAUCAUCAAGUAUGAUUUAGCUCCGAAUAAGUGAUCUUGCUCCGAAUAAGUGAUUUUGCUGAGAGUUUGCAUUUAAGCGAUUUUGAGUUGAUUUUGUUGGGAAUGUAAAGCGAGUUGAAACAUUGUUGGGAAAGGGAUUUUGGUGGGAAUGCGACUUUGUGAGCGGGAAAGUAAUUUCCAGAAAAGCGCUUUUGUGUGUCAUUUUCACAAAGCAAAUUUCACUGUCACCAGUUACUACAAAAACACAAUAAUCUUUAAUUGCUUUUGUCUGCGCUUUUUUAUUUCCAGAAUUAUAGUUGAUUGACAUUAUCAAAACAAUGUUCAAAAAAUAAAAAUUCUUUAUAAAAAAUUAAUAAAAAGUCAAACAUGAAAUUACAAGGAAAUAAAGUAAAUAAAAAAAGUUCAUGUUAACUUGUGCUCUAGUGAAAUGUUAAGCUACCUAAAAAUAGAAAUAUAACAUUUAAUGAUAUAACAAAUUUAAUGUUUAAGGAAUUGAAUUACAAGUUCAAUAAAUUUUUUCCACAUUUAUCUUGUUAUCAUGUGCCCUAACAUGUGCCCUUAACACACACGUUAACAUUCUUUAAUAAAAAAUAUUAUAUUAAAGUCUUCAAUUUUGUCAAAAAGAAUAAAAAAUAAAACGUCUUAUUAAACACAUUAAGUGACCCUUGCUACUACGAAGUAUAUAAAUAAACUUCACUCUCACCACAAAACACAAACAUAAAUCAUUGAUUCUGCUUCUUACUCUUCUGUGCAAAACUUUAGAUUUUUUAAAAUAGGGGAUCAAAAGUGUAUUAAAGCCAUUAAUUUUUAACUUAUAUCGAAUAAGUUAACUGAUUAAAUUUGUAUUGUUUGGUAAAAUUAACGAUUGAAUUAGUAUUUAAUUAAUAUUUAAUUUUUUUCAUGUAAGAUGAUAUGGAUAAAAUUGGAAAAAAAAAUAAGUUAUAAGCUCAUAGGCUCUGUUUGGAAAGCACAAAUAAGUUAGCUUAUAGCUUAUUUUACUAGCUUAAAGCUUACUCUCUCCAUCCCAAAAUAUAAGCAAAAAAUGAUCAACAAAAGUGAAUGUAUUUGAUCCAAAUCUUUAACCAAAUACAUCAAAUUUCUUUGACUCAUUUUUGCUUAUAUUUUGGGACGGAGAGAGUAUUUUUCAGACGAUAUUUCAAUUAGCUUAUGAGCUUAUAGCUUAUAUUUUUUCUUUCAUUUUUACCCUUGUUAUUUUAUGUAAAUUUUAUGUAAAAUUCAACUUUACCUUUUAUAAUUUAUUAUGACUUAAAAAAUUUUGUAUAUUUUAGUGAAUAUAAACCAUACUACUCCCUCCGUUUCAAAUUACUUAUUGUUUUAGAAAAAAAAAAUUAUUUCAAAUUACUUGUCAUUUUGAUAAUUUAAGGUUAUAUUUUAUCUAUCAUAUCCUCAUGUAAAUUCCAAAUAUUUAGGAGUAGUUACUAAAAAAAUAAAAAGUACUUGUCUUAUGUUAUGGUGAGUUUGUUAAUAAAAAAUUUUUGCUGCUAAAAAAAAAAAAACUUUUGUUAGGCUAAAUUGCAGUUUUGUCCCAACGUUUCCUAAUUGUGCGAUUUUGGUCCCUUAAUUUCAAACGAGCGGUUUCACUCGAGACAAUUCACUAUAUAAAUACACACUUAACUCUCACCACAAAACAUAACACGUAAAUAUUUGAUUUUGCUUCUUGCUUCUUCUCCCUUAAAAUCUAAUAUCACAAACACACUUUCACUCAACGCUCUUUUCUUUAUUAGCACCAUUAAACGAUCUUUUUCUGUCCAAUAAUUUAAUUUCUUCUCUCAUUAUUUCAUUCUAAAAAACUAUUGCAGAUCCAAUUCUUUUGUUAUUACAAUCAUGACUCAACACUCUUUUCUUUAUCAUCACCAUUAAACGAUAUUUUCUUUACAUCCGCUUUAUCCUGAUAAGUGGAAAUGGUUGCCAGAUACAUCUGCUUUAGAUAAGUGAAAAUAGUCAGAUAACUGUUUUAGAUCCUAAUGUGUUGACUGCUAUCAAACAUCUUUGGAGGAAUGAUGCCCCGUCCAAAGUUUUGGUUUUAGGUUGGUGGUUAUUUCUAAAAAGGUUACCUACGAGGUCGACGCUCAAUCGCAGAGGUAUUUUGCUUAACCUGCGUGACUUACCUUGCAUCUUUUGUUUUUUAUCUCAUGAAGAUUGUGCGCACUUAUUCUUUCAUUGUCCUUUUAGUAUAAGAAUGUGGGAAUUGGUGUGUAGUUGGAUAGGAAAGAGUAUUCCGCACGGGCUGAUGGAUGGAAUCAUUUUAAGUUGUUUGACGAGAUGAUUAAUUUGAAAGAAAAAAAAAGAAUGAAUUAAUCAUUUUGUUAUGGUUGGCAACAACGUGAAAUAUUUAGAAACUUUGAAAUAAUGUGAUUUUUUAUGGAGCCAUUCCGAAUGCUUCUUCAUUUUUGGAUGACAUCAAAGCUAUUACUUGGACGUGGGUGAAUGGUCGGUAUGGGCAUAAGUCUUGUAUCUCCUUUUCUAUUUGGUGCUUAGAUCCAUUGACUUGUAUCCAAAACAUAUGAUUACUUGUUUUGCUUUGUAAGGGAUUGAGUAUCCCUUGUACUCCCUUUUAUUAAUGUUAAUCUUUGCUUAUAAAAAAAAUAUUGGCAGUUAAAUAUAAGAUUUCAUCAUUAUGCAUUCACGGUGCUUUAUUUCGGUUAAUAUUUGAAGCCAGAGAAAAUUUGAAAAUAAGAAGUGAUAUAGUAAAAGACACUAAACAGAAAAUCAAGUUAAAAAAAAAGUUGAAUAAUAUUUUUACAUUGGAAGCUGAAUAACUAUUAUCAAGAGAGAUUAUUAUAUGAAAGCAAAAACCAAUAAUAAAUCCAAAAUUAAUACUAAAUGCCUUGAAUUAUAUUAAACGUUACAAGUUACAACUUCUCAAAAAUCCCCUAACAACUUACUAAACUUGGCAACAUAUAUAAUAUAACAACUAUAGUUGCAAUUCUCAUUAUUUUCUUGUGAAUAGAGCCUUUCUUUAAAGAGCCAUUUCGGUAGGUAUUAAAUUGAGUCAUUAGAGGAAAUGAAUAGCAGACCGCGAAAAGCAAUACAACAUCAACCCCUAACAAGGCAUAGUUUCAGCAUUAGUCCCACACGAGCGAAGAGUAUCCGAGUAUGCGAUAAAACGGGUGUUAGAUCCACAAUUGUGUUGGCAUAUUUCUUCAACCUUCGUAGAUUUCUCAUUGUCUAAACCACAACUAUAAACAUUUUUCUCCGUUGCAAACACUAAGAGAUCACCGUUCAUAAUGGUAAACCCGGUAACAAUAGGAUUUUCCUCCUUCAAUUCCAAUGCUUCCAAUCUCACUUCCAAAAGCUUUUCCCAUGAACUUGACUUAUAAUCUUUUAAAAUCCAAAUUGUAAAACCNNNNNNNNNNNNNNNNNNUGUGCCAUUUUCCAGAUUAUAAGACAUUAUAUAUGGAUCAUAAAAAGCACUUGAUUUCGUAAAGUAAAAAGCACUAUCCGAGAUAACAUGAAUGGCUUUGUUAUGAAACACAGCCAUGUCAAAUUUCAUGUCUCUUCCACCGGAGGGAAAAACUAUUUGCCAUUGUUUUCCAUGAGCCUUCUUUUCCAUGAUAAACAUUGCAUAUGUAAGUUGGUGACCAUUCCUUGAAAUUUGUCUCUUUAAACAAAAACACCGAGUAAUCAUCUAGGUUGCUACGGGAGCAGUCUAACAUGAUAUUAAUAUUUGCAAAAUUAUCGUUUAUUUGAAGUGACUCUGGGAUAGGAAUCGAAGACCAAGACUUUGUGUGAUUGUGUUACAAAUGAACAAGUCAAGUGAGUCAUAAUUAAUGGUGCGGCAAAGAACCAAACCAUUACAAGAAGCUAAGACAGAAACUGAAUUUGAUAGGAAUGUAAGAACAUUAUUAGGAACACCAGAAGACUGUUUCUCUUUAGGUAAAGAAUGUAACUCGACUCUUUUUUCGAACUUUUGCCUUAUUUUCUCGGGUUGAAUGAAGAAACAUGUGUCAUCCUUCCGCAACAAAUUACGAGUUUGCUUUGUUUUAAAAGUGGUUUCUUGUGAAAAUUUAAAGAAUGACUCGCAAGUUGAAUUGAACUUACAAAUACUUUUUGCCGGUAGCCAUGAGAAUAUCUCAAAAGCAAUGUCAUGAGGUACUUCCAUGUUGUUGAGAAAGAAAAAGAAAACAAAGUGAGAACACUAAAAACAGCAAGCGUGGUUAGAAAGUGUGAAGUGAGGGAAACUAUAUUUGGUACACUCAUAUAUAGUUGAAAUAUGAACCCUAAAAUAAAUCUCAAACAAUAUCUACUAAAAUAUCUUUUAAAAAGAUAAGAUUUAUUAGUUAAAAAGAUAUGUGAUUAAUGAAAAUAAAGGGAUUUUCAAAAAAAAAAAAAAAGGCAUCUGCAUUUAUUACGGUAACAAACUUUUUAUUGUUUUACUGGAAUGGUAACAAAAUAAAUUUAUCACAAGCUUAUUAUUUUGGUAUUCUGGAAUGGUAAGUAAAUAGAUUUUGUUAUCUUUUUAACAGCUAGCACUGCAUUUAAUGCACAAUUAGGGUUUCUUACCCAUUAUAUAUAUUGAUCCUUUUAUUCAGAGUAGUUAACACUGAAUGUUUGUGGCUCAAGAUACAUCAUUAAAAUAUUAAACCAUUAAACCAAAUUAGGCAAAAUUCAAGAUUUCAAGAAUCGCAACUCAGUCUUCACAUUAUUCUUCAAUAGUAAGCUAUCCUAUUCCAAAAGAAGGAGGUUAUUAGAAAAUUCAAAAUAACUUUUCGUGGCAAAAAGAUUUGUGAAAGAAUCUACAACAACAAUAGGUCGAUCGUUUCUUGCCAUUGUUAAAAGAAGGUGAAGAUGUUGAAGAAGGAAUAUAUGUCACUGCAUAUGACAUGCAAGGCAAAGUGUUCAACAUGAAUUCCAAAUUAAAGAGUAUAGAAUUAAAGUAUAGGAAUUUGAUGAAUCAUUGUAGUAAGAUUUUCACAAAUUAUUAAUUACUGGGUUAGUUUUAAGAUUUCUUUAUUUUUUGUUGCAUUCUUGUAGUGUUCAUAACACUACAUACAGCAUUGUUUUGUAAUUAUGUCGAUGCAACUGAUCACGAUAUAUAUGAAUUGAGACUCACAGUAUUUUCUUUUAUCUUGAUAUUUUUAGGUCUUUUAUUAUUUUGCUUAUUACUUAUUUUUGUUCUUCAAUAUGCGCUUAUAAUUUGUCAUUAAUUAACACGCUUCUUUAGUAUUAGUGGAUACACAAAUUAAUAACUAGGAAUGGUAUCCAAAGUAUUCUAUUUGUUUUCUCUACCCAAACUUAUGCAAUUGGUUAAACUAACAGCUACAUUUUUCAUUCCUAAUUAAUCUUAGUCCAUUAGGGACAUUACGGCGUCCCAAAAGCGUCAGAAAACACAUAACAGGGUAAAACAGGGCUGUCAAAGGCACUUUAAACGAACUGGCUGAGCUUUAAGCGCAGGAGCAGGGGACACAAACUGGUGUCUGCGCUCUAGGCGCAGGAACUGCUGCUGUGUUUUCCUGCACAGUUUUCUGCUAUGUUAUCUAAUUAAUCUGGUCCAACUUCAACACUAAUCA